rnacentral:rRNA from 1 species
CAACUCUCCGUCACCGGCAGACGGGUGCGUAACACGUGAGCGACCUACCUGAGUGUGGGGGAUAGCCGGCCCAACGGCCGGGUAAUACCGCAUACGUUCCGCUGGGGGCAUCCCUGGGGGAGGAAACCGGUGUGGGGAAGCCUACACCGGGCAGUCAGUGGGGCUCGCGGCCUAUCAGCUUGUUGGUGGGGUAACGGCUCACCAAGGCGACGACGGGUAGCUGGUCUGAGAGGAUGGCCAGCCACAUUGGGACUGAGAGACGGCCCAGACUCCUACGGGAGGCAGCAGUGGGGAAUCUUGCGCAAUGGCCGAAAGGCUGACGCAGCGACGCCGCGUGUGGGAGGACGCCCUUCGGGGUGUAAACCACUGUCACCCGGG